GAGUUUGAUCCUGGCUCAGGACGAACGCUGGCGGCGUGCCUAAUACAUGCAAGUUGAGCGAUGAAGAUUGGUGCUUGCACCAAUUUGAAGAGCAGCGAACGGGUGAGUAACGCGUGGGGAAUCUGCCUUUGAGCGGGGGACAACAUUUGGAAACGAAUGCUAAUACCGCAUAACAACUUUAAACAUAAGUUUUAAGUUUGAAAGAUGCAAUUGCAUCACUCAAAGAUGAUCCCGCGUUGUAUUAGCUAGUUGGUGAGGUAAAGGCUCACCAAGGCGAUGAUACAUAGCCGACCUGAGAGGGUGAUCGGCCACAUUGGGACUGAGACACGGCCCAAACUCCUACGGGAGGCAGCAGUAGGGAAUCUUCGGCAAUGGACGAAAGUCUGACCGAGCAACGCCGCGUGAGUGAAGAAGGUUUUCGGAUCGUAAAACUCUGUUGGUAGAGAAGAACGUUGGUGAGAGUGGAAAGCUCAUCAAGUGACGGUAACUACCCAGAAAGGGACGGCUAACUACGUGCCAGCAGCCGCGGUAAUACGUAGGUCCCGAGCGUUGUCCGGAUUUAUUGGGCGUAAAGCGAGCGCAGGUGGUUUAUUAAGUCUGGUGUAAAAGGCAGUGGCUCAACCAUUGUAUGCAUUGGAAACUGGUAGACUUGAGUGCAGGAGAAGAGAGUGGAAUUCCAUGUGUAGCGGUGAAAUGCGUAGAUAUAUGGAGGAACACCGGUGGCGAAAGCGGCUCUCUGGCCUGUAACUGACACUGAGGCUCGAAAGCGUGGGGAGCAAACAGGAUUAGAUACCCUGGUAGUCCACGCCCUAAACCAUGAGCGCUAGAUGUAGGGAGCUAUAAGUUCUCUGUAUCGCAGCUAACGCAAUAAGCACUCCGCCUGGGGAGUACCACCGCAAGGUUGAAACUCAAAGGAAUUGACGGGGGCC
rnacentral:rRNA from 1 species